AUUGAACGCUGGCGGCAUGCCUAACACAUGCAAGUCGAACGGUAACAGGCCCUUCGGGGUGCUGACGAGUGGCGGAUGGGUGAGUAAUACUUAGGAAUCUACCCUGUAGUGGGGGACAACCCGGGGAAACUCGGGCUAAUACCGCAUACGCUCUACGGAGGAAAGCGGGGGACCGCAAGGCCUCGCGCUAUUGGAUGAGCCUAAGCCCGAUUAGCUAGUUGGUGGGGUAAUAGCCUACCAAGGCAAUGAUCGGUAGCUGGUCUGAGAGGACGACCAGCCACACUGGGACUGAGACACGGCCCAGACUCCUACGGGAGGCAGCAGUGGGGAAUAUUGGACAAUGGGCGAAAGCCUGAUCCAGCGAUGCCGCGUGUGUGAAGAAGGCCUGCGGGUUG
rnacentral:rRNA from 1 species